AUGGCCCCACCGCAAUGUUUCGACAACGUCUCUGGCCAGAAUGGCCAUGUGGCGGUGGUGGUAGACACGCCGGAGAAGGAGAUGCAACGCCGCAGCCUGCUCGAUGCUGGCGAGUUCCGGCGCCAGGGUCACCAGGUAGUCGACUUCAUCGCCGAGUAUUACGAUGGCAUGGGCGACUACCCCGUGCACCCCAGCGUUACCCCCGGCUUCCUCCGCAACUUGAUUCCCGCGGACGCACCGUCAAGCCCUGAGCCGGACGCGUUCAGCUCCGCGCUCAAGGACGUCCGGGACAUCAUCCUCCCGGGCAUGACGCACUGGCAAAGCGCCCGUCACCUGGCGCACUUCCCGGCGUCGAGCAGCACCGUCGACGCACUAGGGGAGGCGCUCACCGCCGGAAUAAACGUCGUCCCGUUCACGUGGGCUGCCUCGCCGGCCGCCACUGAGCUUGAGAUGCUGGUCGUGGACUGGCUCGGCAAGGCGUUGCACCUGCCGGAGAGCCUCCUCUUCGCCGGUGGUGGCGGUGGAACUCUUCUUGGCACCUCGUGCUAG
rnacentral:rRNA from 1 species